rnacentral:lncRNA from 1 species
UUUAUCUGGGAAGCUAAAAAUUACCAUUACUCACCAAGAGUCAGUCCUCAUAGAGGAUCUUUUCCAUAAAGUAUGUUUGUUGUUGCAUGCAUCAAUUUCAAGGGAUUAAAGUAUAUUUUACCUACAAGAGAGUCUUCAGCUCUUGAACUCCAGGAUUCUCACCAGUGGCCAACAGUUUCUCAGACCUUAGGUUUUGAAUUGAGUUACGUCAUCAGCUUUCCUGGUUUUAAGGCUUUCAAACAUGGAUUGGCUUCUCUGAUUCUCCAGUUUGCUGACAACCUAUCCUGGGACUUUCCUGCCAUCAUAAGACCUGUGAAGAAUUCUACCUUCAGACAACUGCUCAACUGGAUUGAAUCUGGGAGAAGAAGAUGGGGGCAUUAUUUCUUGACAGCCACCUAGAUUCCAACAGCAUCAUGCAACAAAUGGUACUAAGACCUUCAGAACCCUUGAAGAGCUAAUCAGCACUUAUGCAUGAAGGCAAUGUUCUAAACCUUAGUGGUCAGGAAAUGUUUGAGAUUUGAAACAGUUGUUUGAAGUUGAGGCAGAAAGUAAUAAAGAAUACUAAAAUUAUCAAAGAAACACCAAACACAAAUCAAUAGCAUCCAAAUGAGCUUUACCUUUAUAGCUGGUACUCUUUCUGUCCUCUUUUCUGCUUCCUAAGAGAUGUUUUUUGGUGAUUUGGUCCUCCUAAGUGCAUGCACAUUGGACAGGAUAGUAUGAGUAUGAUUAGAGUGUAAGCAUGACUAGAAGCACAA